UCCCUGGUGGCCUAGUGGUUAAGGAUCUGGCAUUGUCACUGCUCUGGCUCAGGUUCGAUCCCUGGCCUGGGGA
rnacentral:tRNA from 1 species